rnacentral:rRNA from 1 species
GACGAAGGGGGCUAGCGUUGUUCGGAAUUACUGGGCGUAAAGCGCGCGUAGGCGGCCCUGCAAGUCGGGGGUGAAAGCCCGAGGCUCAACCUCGGAACUGCCUUCGAUACUGCGGGUCUCGAGUCCGGGAGAGGUGAGUGGAAUUCCUAGUGUAGAGGUGAAAUUCGUAGAUAUUAGGAAGAACACCAGUGGCGAAGGCGGCUCACUGGCCCGGUACUGACGCUGAGGCGCGAAAGCGUGGGGAGCAAACAGG